rnacentral:lncRNA from 10 species
UGGGCAGUGUGGGAUGGAGACAUCCUGACUGUGGACCGCGAUGGCGAUGGCCGGGGCCUCACACACAGAACAGCGGCUGAUACUCCACUGGCAUUUUGGAACAGCUCUGUUCUUCUACAAGUUCUCACACAUACUGGGCCAAGUUGGAUCACCAGGGAGUGGCGUCUUCAUGGAAUAGCAUUUUGGGUGCACUGCUCAGUGGCAUUCAAUAUAUUCACCUUCACCGCCGACCAGCUCCAGAACUUUCUCAUCCUAAACUGAAAUCUGUCCCCGUUAUACACGCACUCCCCGUGUCCCUCUCCCCCCAACCCUCAGCAACAGCCAUUGUACUUUCUGUUUCUAUGAAUUUGAUGACUUCAGGGGCCUCGUAUGUGUGGAAUCACAGAAUCCGACCUUUUGUGACUGGCUUCUUUCACUCAGCAGAAUGCCCUCAAGGGUCAUCUAGGUGGUAGCAGGUGAUAAGAGUUCCUUCUUUUUAAGACCGAAUAAAGGCUGGGCAAGGUGGCUUACACCUGUCGUCUCAGCACUUUGGGAAGCCG